GAUGAACGCUGGCGGCGUGCUUAACACAUGCAAGUCGAACGGAAAGGCUCCUACUUGCCGGGGUACUCGAGUGGCGAACGGGUGAGUAACACGUGGGUGAUCUGCCCUGUACUUCGGGAUAAGCUUGGGAAACUGGGUCUAAUACCGGAUAGGACAACUUUUUGGAUAUUGUUGUGGAAAGCUUUUGCGGUAUGGGAUGAGCUCGCGGCCUAUCAGCUUGUUGGUGGGGUAAUGGCCUACCAAGGCGUCGACGGGUAGCCGGCCUGAGAGGGUGUACGGCCACAUUGGGACUGAGAUACGGCCCAGACUCCUACGGGAGGCAGCAGUGGGGAAUAUUGCACAAUGGGCGCAAGCCUGAUGCAGCGACGCCGCGUGGGGGAUGAAGGCCUUCGGGUUGUAAACUCCUUUCGCUAGGGACGAAGCUUUUUUGUGACGGUACCUGGAGAAGAAGCACCGGCUAACUACGUG
rnacentral:rRNA from 1 species